AGUGAACGCUGGCGGCGUGCUUAACACAUGCAAGUCGAACGAGAACGGAAUAUAGCUUGCUAUAUUUGUCAGCUAAGUGGCGCACGGGUGAGUAAUGUAUAGAUAACCUGCCCUUAAGAAAGGAAUAACAGUUGGAAACGACUGCUAAUGCCCUAUAUGCCUUUAAUACAUAAGUAUGCAAGGGAAACGCUUUAGUGCUUAAGGAUGGGUCUGUAUGGUAUCAGCUUGUUGGUGAGGUAAUGGCUCACCAAGGCUAUGACGCCUAACUGGUUUGAGAGGAUGAUCAGUCGCACUGGAACUGGGACACGGUCCAGACUCCUACGGGAGGCAGCAGUGGGGAAUAUUGCACAAUGGACGAAAGUCUGAUGCAGCAACGCCGCGUGGAGGAUGACACAUUUCGGUGCGUAAACUCCUUUUAUAUGGGAAGAUAAUGACGGUACUAUAUGAAUAAGCACCGGCUAACUCCGUGCCAGCCGCCGCCGUAA
rnacentral:rRNA from 1 species